AGCUCUGUGGUGAAGUUCAUAUCGGGUUGCAACUCCGAAGACGCAGGUGACCACCUGCCGGGGCUU
rnacentral:tRNA from 1 species